AUUAUUGUCCAGCCAACUAAAAGUGUCUUCUAGAAUAAGGUGAAAGAACAGAGAGGGCAAGGAAGAACUGAGAGCAUAUGGAGGAAGGAGAUUUAAAUUCACUUCCCCUAUUUCACCGGACAGUCAAUUGUGUAAAACAUAGGUCCCAGCAGUGAUGCAAUAGAAGGAGCAUAGGAAGACAGAAGUCAGCAAAUGACCAUCCAGUGCAGCAAGCAGCGUGCUCAGUAUCAACA
rnacentral:lncRNA from 10 species